rnacentral:tRNA from 1 species
GGGGCUAUAGCUCAGUGGUAGAGCGCCUGCCUUGCAUGUGUGAGGCCCUGAGUUUGAUCCUCAGCACCA